rnacentral:rRNA from 1 species
CCCUACGGGGCGCAGCAGGCGCGAAAACUUUACAAUGCGGGAAACCGUGAUAAGGGAACUCCGAGUGCCCGUAAAAUCGGGCUGUCCAUCGGUUUAAAUAACCGGUGAAGAAAGGGCCGGGCAAGACCGGUGCCAGCCGCCGCGGUAAUACCGGCGGCUCGAGUGGUGGCCACUAUUACUGGGCUUAAAGCGUUCGUAGCUGGUCUGUUAAGUCUCUGGGGAAAUCUACUGGCUUAACCAAUAGGCGUCUCAGGGAUACUGGCAGACUAGGGACCGGGAGAGGUGAGAGGUACUCCAGGGGUAGGAGUGAAAUCCUGUAAUCC